UUUCUCUUCUUGUGUGUCUAAACCAAGAGCAAGAUAUUGCCUGUGAAUUGCUUGAAUUGCUGGGAGCUUGAUUGGGAAUCAGCUGCUGAAUGAGCUGUUGACUUCCCAGCCCAUCCACCAAGCUGCACAGGUGCUUUGUGAAGUUCCAUAUUGCUCUGGAUU
rnacentral:lncRNA from 1 species